GCUUGUUGGUGAAAUAAGUUUGCGAAGAUAGUUGUGGUGGCAGUUUAUAAAAUGUGUUUUGGUCUAGUAUAAGGAAUAGAAAAAUUUAAAAGUUUGUUAAAGUACUGAGAAGGAAACAAAAAGGUUUUAAAAAAAACAAUAAAAUGAUUUUACUUUUUGUAUCAUGGGCUAACGAGUCUUUUCUAUAAUAUAAUGCUCUCGAAACUCUGUGAGCUAAUUUUCUUAUGUUCAGAACUAACGUUCUAAUGUAGAAAAAUUAGUCGGAUAAAGAAAAUUAGGUGUUAAAUGCUUGACGCACAGGGUAAUAGCUUGUUUUUGUAAAAAUGCUUGUUAGAGCAGGAUCUAAUAGUUGUUUAGAGACUGAGUUUCUCGGGGAUAAGCUCGAGAAGCUAAGUGAAAGCUGAUUAAAGUAUUUGGUUUGUGUGGGCAUAAAAGCUGCCAGCUGUUGUGAGUUCGUUUUAGAUCUAAAUUAAAUUUUAGGGUUUCUUGUUGUUUAAUACGAAUUUAAUAAGAACUGGUUGUGUUUAAUAAUAAUGUUAGUAUUAGUACUGUUGACUGGUUUUGAAGACUGAUAUCGAGCAGUCUUUGAGAAAAAAAUCAGAUUUUUAGUUGGUUUUAAGGAAUUCGGCAAUAAUUUAACUCCGGCUGUUUAUCAAAAACAUAGUUUAUUGUUGAUUAUAAUAAAUGGUUCCUGCCCAGUGAUUAAUUUAAACGGCCGCGGUACUCUGACCGUGCAAAGGUAGCAUAAUCACUUGCCUCUUAAUUGGGGGCUGGUAUGAAUGGAAGUUCGGGAGUUAAGCUGUCUCUAGGCUAAAUGUGGAAUUUGCUGUUUCUGUGAAGAAGCAGGGGUAAUGCAAAAGGACAAGAAGACCCUAUUAAGCUUUACUUUUUGAUGUAGUUCUAAUCAUUGGUGUUGUAAGGGAUUGCAGUAAGAAAAGUUUGGUUGGGGUGACCAAAGAAGACGAAAUCUUCUUUUUUUUUAUAAACAGAUUGGUUUAUAGUUGAUCCGAAAAAUUUCGAGCGAAAGAAAAAGCUACUAUAGGGAUAACAGCGUUAUUUUUUCUUAGAGUUCUAAUCGAAGAAAAAGAUUGCGACCUCGAUGUUGACUUGUCAUAUCCUGUAUUGUGGUGCAGAUGUUGCAAGGGUUGGUCUGUUCGACCAUUAAAAUGGCACGUGAGUUGAGUUCAGACCGGCGUAAGCCAGGUUGGUUUCUAUCCUUUGUUUUUUUGGGGCCUGUUAGCUAGUACGAAAGGACCGCUGAUGGUUAGUAAGUAGUGAAU
rnacentral:rRNA from 1 species